UCUAUAAGGAACGGACCCUUUCCCUCUUGGAGAACAAAAGCCUAGCCGCCUCUAAUACUCUCAUCUUCUCAGUCAACCGCCCUCCCUCACUCUCAAAGAACGGAAGAAGGAAAUCUGAAAAUACACACACCCGUUUUUCUUCCCCAACAAACUCUCACCCUCACCUCACUUUACUCAUCUGUAUACAUCUAGAAGAAGGAAAAAAGAAAUCCCAAAAAACCAGAUCUGAAAACAAAAAAAAAAUGCUUUGAAGAACGACGAAGAACAUGUAGAAUUUCUAGAUGUUUUUACUCAAGUUUCGUUGUUGUUUGCUGUUCAUCGCUUCUGAGCUCCAACCAGCUGGAAUCUUUGCCUUUAUUUGGCUUAGAUUUAAUCUUUGCACCAUUUGGGGCCCAAACUGGUAUAUCACUAGACUUCAGACAUCAUAAAUUUGGAGGUUGCGACAGAGUGACUUUUAAAAGCUUUUGUUCUUUUCGGAAGCAGGGCAUGUGAAUGAAAGUGCAGAUAUUGUGAGAGCUAUACAUAUAAUAAUUUGAGUUUGUUUGUGGUCUUUUAGUAAUCUAAUUGAAAACCUUGUCGCCA